GACGAACGCUGGCGGCGUGCUUAACACAUGCAAGUCGAACGGAAAGGCCCUGCUUGCAGGGUACUCGAGUGGCGAACGGGCGAGUAACACGUGGGUGAUCUGCCCUGCACUUCGGGAUAAGCCUGGGAAACUGGGUCUAAUACCGGAUAGGAGCCAUUUUUAGUGUGAUGGUUGGAAAGUUUUUUCGGUGUAGGAUGAGCUCGCGGCCUAUCAGCUUGUUGGUGGGGUAAUGGCCUACCAAGGCGGCGACGGGUAGCCGGCCUGAGAGGGUGGACGGCCACAUUGGGACUGAGAUACGGCCCAGACUCCUACGGGAGGCAGCAGGGGGGAAUAUUGCACAAUGGGCGCAAGCCUGAUGCAGCGACGCCGCGUGGGGGAUGACGGCCUUCGGGUUGUAAACUCCUUUCGCUAGGGACGAAGCUUUUUGUGACGGUACCUAGAUAAGAAGCACCGGCUAACUACGUG
rnacentral:rRNA from 1 species